GACGUAGGGCGCGAGCGUUGUCCGGAUUUAUUGGGCGUAAAGAGCUCGUAGGCGGCUUGUCGCGUCGUUUCGUGAAAACCCACAGCUCAACUGUGGGCUUGCGGUCGAUACGGGCAGGCUAGAGUUCGGUAGGGGAGACUGGAAUUCCUGGUGUAGCGGUGAAAUGCGCAGAUAUCAGGAGGAACACCGGUGGCGAAGGCGGAUCUCUGGGCCAUUACUGACGCUGAGGAGCGAAAGCGUGGGGAGCGAACAGG
rnacentral:rRNA from 1 species